rnacentral:rRNA from 1 species
GACGAACGCUGGCGGCGUGCCUAACACAUGCAAGUCGAGCGGAGUCGAUCGACGGAAGCCUUCGGGCGGAAGAUGGUUGACUUAGCGGCGGAUGGGUGAGUAACGCGUGGGCAACCUGCCUCGAAGACCGGGAUAACAGACCGAAAGGGCUGCUAAUACCGGAUGUGGUCAAGGAUCCGCAUGGAUCUUUGAUUAAAGGGGAAACCCGUUUCGAGAUGGGCCCGCGUCCUAUCAGCUAGUUGGUGAGGUAAAAGCUCACCAAGGCGACGACGGGUAGCCGGCCUGAGAGGGUGACCGGCCACACUGGAACUGAGACACGGUCCAGACUCCUACGGGAGGCAGCAGUGGGGAAUAUUGCACAAUGGAGGGAACUCUGAUGCAGCGACGCCGCGUGAGCGAUGAAGGCCUUCGGGUCGUAAAGCUCUGUCCUAUGGGACGAUAAUGACGGUACCAUAGGAGGAAGCCCCGGCUAACUACGUG